rnacentral:rRNA from 1 species
AAUAUUGGACAAUGGGGGAAACCCUGAUCUAGCCAUCCCGCGUGUAUGAUGAAGGCCGUAGGGGCGUAAAGUACUUUUGGCAGAGAAGAAAAGGUAUCUCCUAAUACGAGAUACUGCUGACGGUAUCUGCAGAAAAAGCACCGGCUAACUACGUGCCAGCAGCCGCGGUAAUACGUAGGUUGCAAGCGUAAAUCGGAAUUACGGGGCGUAAGGCGUGUGUAGGCGGUUCGGAAAGAAAGAUGUAAAAUCCCAGGGCUCAACCUUGGAACUGCAUUUUUAACUGCCGAGCUAGAGUAUGUCAGAGGGGGGUAGAAUUCCACGUGUAGCAGUGAAAUGCGUAGAUAUGUGGAGGAAUACCGAUGGCGAAGGCAGCCCCCUGGGAUAAUACUGACGCUCAGACACGAAAGCGUGGGGAGCAAAC